rnacentral:rRNA from 1 species
CACGAAGUUAGCCGGGGCUUAUUCUUGCGGUACCGUCAUUAUCUUCCCGCACAAAAGAGCUUUACAACCCUAGGGCCUUCAUCACUCACGCGGCAUGGCUGGAUCAGGGUUGCCCCCAUUGUCCAAUAUUCCCCACUGCUGCCUCCCGUAGGAGUCUGGGCCGUGUCUCAGUCCCAGUGUGGCUGAUCAUCCCCUCAGACCAGCUACUGAUCGUCGCCUUGGUGAGCCCAUUACCUCACCAACUAGCUAAUCAGACGCGGGCCGAUCUUUCGGCGAUAAAUCUUUCCCCGUUAGGGCUUAUCCGGUAUUAGCUGAAGUUUCCCUCAGUUGUUCCGAACCAAAAGGUACGUUCCACGUGUUACUCACCCGUCUGCCGCUGACGUAUUGCUACGCCCGCUCGACUUGCAUGUGUUAAGCCUGCCGCCAGCGUUCGCUCUGAGCCAGGACUCGAAACUCU